rnacentral:rRNA from 1 species
UCAGUGAAAUUGAACUCGCUGUGAAGAUGCAGUGUACCCGCGGCAAGACGGAAAGACCCCGUGAACCUUUACUAUAGCUUGACACUGAACAUUGAGCCUUGAUGUGUAGGAUAGGUGGGAGGCUUUGAAGUGUGGACGCCAGUCUGCAUGGAGCCGACCUUGAAAUACCACCCUUUAAUGUUUGAUGUUCUAACGUGGACCCGUAAUCCGGGUUGCGGACAGUGUCUGGUGGGUAGUUUGACUGGGGCGGUCUCCUCCUAAAGAGUAACGGAGGAGCACGAAGGUUGGCUAAUCCUGGUCGGACAUCAGGAGGUUAGUGCAAUGGCAUAAGCCAGCUUGACUGCGAGCGUGACGGCGCGAGCAGGUGCGAAAGCAGGUCAUAGUGAUCCGGUGGUUCUGAAUGGAAGGGCCAUCGCUCAACGGAUAAAAGGUACUCCGGGGAUAACAGGCUGAUACCGCCCAAGAGUUCAUAUCGACGGCGGUGUUUGGCACCUCGAUGUCGGCUCAUCACAUCCUGGGGCUGAAGUAGGUCCCAAGGGUAUGGCUGUUCGCCAUUUAAAGUGGUACGCGAGCUGGGUUUAGAACGUCGUGAGACAGUUCGGUCCCUAUCUGCCGUGGGCGCUGGAGAACUGAGGGGGGCUGCUCCUAGUACGAGAGGACCGGAGUGGACGCAUCACUGGUGUUCGGGUUGUCAUGCCAAUGGCACUGCCCGGUAGCUAAAUGCGGAAGAGAUAAGUGCUGAAAGCAUCUAAGCACGAAACUUGCCCCGAGAUGA